AUAUAACCAUUUUUCUGGGUUCACAGCUUUCAUUAGCAUUUGAUCAAGUCAAUUCUGCGACAUUGCCAACUGACUUUUAGAACUUCCCCAUCCUCACUAAAGUACUAAACCCUAAAUACAAGGACGACUAACUUUUUGUUUUAGGUAAUGAAACUUCCCUAUUACCAAUUUACCACUAAACCCUAACUAACUUUCAGUUUAGGUAAUGAAACAUCCCCAUUCUCACUAAACCCUGCACACAAAAACAAUUAACAAUUAGUUUCAAUUCCCAUAUUCUUUCUAAACCCUAAAUACAAAAAAGAGAACAUGUCUUCUCCUAAUAGAACUAGACAUGAAGCUAUGAUCUUACACCAGUUAUGUUCUAAUGCUAAUGCUUUUAGGUAUAAUCCUAAAAUGUCUAAGUUUUUCCAAAUAAAAUGGCAACCUCCUUUAAAUAAUUUUGUUAAGCUGAGCUUUGAUGGUGUUGUUAAGAAUGGUAAGGCUCGAUUGGUUUUGUUAUUAGGAAUUUUGAUGGAAAUCCUGUAGUUGCUUCUUGCAGGACUAUUGGAUCUACUAAUAUCUUAGUUGCAGAGGCUACUGCCCUAAGGGAAGGUCUUCACACUGCUGCUCUUCAAAAGCUUUCUCAUGUAAUUGUGGAAGGUGAUUCAAAGCUCUUGAUUGACUGCAUUUUGGGCAAUGCUUCAGUACCUUGGAUAAUCAGAUUGUUAGUAAGAGAUACUAAGCUGUUCAAGCCAUAAUUUUCAAGCAUGGUUUUAGAGAAGCUAAUUUUGUUGCUAAUCAUUUAGCCUCCCUAGCCUACAGUCAUCAGACUCUAAGAUCUGGUUCUAUUGUUUUCCCAAUUCUGUGUCCCCAGCAUUCUAUUUGGAUCAGCUGGAAAGGGGAGUUGUUAGAGAUUUUUCCUUUUGCUUGUAAGUUUGUUUCUGUUUCAAUAAAAAAAAAAAAAAGAGAGAGAGAGAGAGAGAACAUCCAUUUACUCGCAAUGGGGGUUAACAGGAUGUCAGAUUCACAGCCCUUGCAAUAGAAUUGAUAAAUUCUGAAAACACAUCUGACAGUAAUGAUUUUCAAAAGAAAGCCCAUAUUUAAAUUUGAUUUAACUGAACAACUUUGAAAUGAUGGAGUAUUAUUUCAAAAUUCACUCGGUGAAUCACUCAUCAUAACUACAUCGUACAUAUAUAGAACAUCAUCUCAGAGGCUAGAUGGGCAAAUUGUAGAGUGAAAACUUGGGGAUGACCUAAUUAAAAACCUUUUUUUUCUUUUGGAUGAUACAAUGUUGCUAAUCCCUCAUUUCUUUAAGUUUUUGCUCAACUCUGUAAGCCAGAUGUUGCAUCACAUAUUAUUUUUCCAGUCAUUCCCACAUUCAACACAGAACUACAAGAAAAGUACACGUCCAGAAAUAUUUGGCUCCAAGAGACCGAUCAAAUUUGUCAAAGUGCAGAACUUUAUGUAGAAAUGGA